rnacentral:piRNA from 1 species
AUUAGCGCUCUGUUCUGGGGACAGCAG